rnacentral:rRNA from 1 species
UACGUAGGUGACAAGCGUUGUCCGGAUUUACUGGGCGUAAGAGCGCGCAGGCGGUCGAUCAAGUCGAGUGUGAAAGCCCCCGGCUCAACUGGGGAGGGUCAUUCGAUACUGAUCGACUCGAAGGCAGGAGAGGGUAGUGGAAUUCCCGGUGUAGUGGUGAAAUGACGUAGAUAUCGGGAGGAACACCAGUGGCGAAGGCGACUACCUGGCCUGUUCUUGACGCUGAGGCGCGAAAGCUGGGGAGCAACCGG